AGGUAGUAUAAAUAUAUAAACCAAUUUAUAUCGGCGGCUAUUAGUUUUAUUAGAGGAACUUGUUAAUUAAUCGAUACACCCCGAUAAUUUUCACUUAUAUUCAAAAUUUAUAUAUCGCCAUCUAAAGAGAAUAUUUAAUAAUAUUUUCCUUUUUAAAAAAAAAAAGUUAGGUCAAGGUGUAAUUUAUAUAUAAGAGUAUAAUGAGUUACAUUAAAAAUAAUUUAAGAAAUUUUUACUUUAAAUUUUAAAUGAAAAAGGAUUUAAUAGUAAUAAUAUUUUAUAUUAAUAAUAAUAAUAAUAUAAUAUGAAUUAAUUAAUAAUAGUGU
rnacentral:rRNA from 1 species